rnacentral:tRNA from 1 species
GAGGGUACAGCUCAGUGGUUAGAACACAUGCUUAGCAUGCACAAGGUCAUGGGUUCAAUCCCCGAUACCUUCA